UACAGAGGGGGCAAGCGUUGUUCGGAAUUACUGGGCGUAAAGGGCGCGUAGGCGGCCUGCUAAGUCGAACGUGAAAUCCCCGGGCUCAACCCGGGAACUGCGUCCGAGACUGGCAGGCUCGAAUCCGGGAGAGGGAUGUGGAAUUCCAGGUGUAGCGGUGAAAUGCGUAGAUAUCUGGAGGAACAUCGGUGGCGAAGGCGGCUUGCCAGAAUGCGCUCGACGGUGAGGGAUGAAAGCUGGGGGAGCAAACCGG
rnacentral:rRNA from 1 species